rnacentral:rRNA from 1 species
GACAGAGGGUGCAAACGUUGUUCGGAUUUACUGGCGUAAAGCGCGUGUAGGCGGCUUUGCAAGUCGGAUGUGAAAGCCCACGGCUCAACCGUGGAAGUGCAUCCGAAAACUGCAUGGCUGGAGUCUCGGAGAGGAAGGUGGAAUGCUUGGUGUAGAGGUGAAAUUCGUAGAUAUCAAGCAGAACACCUGCGGCGAAGGCGGCCUUCUGGACGAUGACUGACGCUGAGACGCGAAAGCGUGGGGAGCAAACAGG